AUAAGAAUCAUCUGGGGAUUCUCCUUAAAAUGUGGAUUCUGAUUCAAUAACUCUGGGGUGGGUGUGGGAUUCUACACUUCUCAUAGCUCCAAGGUGAUGCGGAA
rnacentral:pre_miRNA from 1 species